rnacentral:rRNA from 1 species
AUUGAACGCUGGCGGCAUGCUUUACACAUGCAAGUCGAACGGUAACAGGUCUUCGGAUGCUGACGAGUGGCGAACGGGUGAGUAAUGCAUCGGAACGUGCCCAGUCGUGGGGGAUAACGCAGCGAAAGCUGCGCUAAUACCGCAUACGAUCUAUGGAUGAAAGCGGGGGACCGUAAGGCCUCGCGCGAUUGGAGCGGCCGAUGUCAGAUUAGGUAGUUGGUGGGGUAAAGGCCCACCAAGCCAACGAUCUGUAGCUGGUCUGAGAGGACGACAAGCCACACUGGGACUGAGACACGGCCCAGACUCCUACGGGAGGCAGCAGUGGGGAAUUUUGGACAAUGGGCGCAAGCCUGAUCCAGCAAUGCCGCGUGCAGGAAGAAGGCCUUCGGGUUGUAAACUGCUUUUGUACGGAACGAAACGGUUCUCUCUAAUACAGAGGGCUAAUGACGGUACCGUAAGAAUAAGCACCGGCUAACUACGUGCCAGCAGCCGCCGCAGUAA